GCCUGGUUGGUUAAGUUGGUAGAGCAUGUGACUUUUGAUCCCAGGGUUGUGAGUUCGAGCCCCACAGUAGGUG
rnacentral:tRNA from 1 species